rnacentral:rRNA from 1 species
UACAGAGGUCUCAAGCGUUGUUCGGAUUCAUUGGGCGUAAAGGGUGUGUAGGUGGCGCCGUAAGUCGGGUGUGAAAUUUCGGAGCUUAACUCCGAAACUGCAUUCGAUACUGCGGUGCUUGAGGACUGGAGAGGAGACUGGAAUUCAUGGUGUAGCAGUGAAAUGCGUAGAGAUGUGGAGGAACACCAGUGGCGAAGGCGACUCUUUGGCCUGUAACUGACGCUGAGGCGCGAAAGCGUGGGGAGCAAACAGG